rnacentral:lncRNA from 1 species
ACCCAAUUAAAGCUACUUCCCGCGCUCCAGCUGAUAGCCAACUGGAGCUCGGAAGUCGGGGGGUAGUGUUAGGGGAAAAACCCUAGGUCAUAUAUCCAUAGAGGCGCUCGGCCGAAGAGCGCCGACCGGAAAGCUGCUCGGCCAAAGGAUGCCGACCAGGAAGGCGCUCGACUAGAGGGCGUCGACCAGAGCGUGCGCCAAGAGGUGCCCCACCCAAAGCUGCUCGGUUAGAAAGUGCCGACCAAAGACAGCGCCAAGGCGCUCUGCUAGAAGGUGCUCGCCUAAAGGGCGCCGACCAGGAGUACUUGAAGCAACCCCGCCACAGGGCGCCCCACUGGGCGACCAGCUCGGCUCGGCACUCUUGCCGAGCCGAUGCCUUAACCAAAUGUUCAACCUCCGUCUAAAGUCCAAGGGACUGACAACUCCUACGGCUUGCGACCUGCCACUAUCUCCAAGCCAUCAAAGCAUAAGAUCUUCGCAGGUAUUCGGCACGACCUGCCAUUAAUGCACGAGACUCAAGUCUCCGAUGCACUCAGUCAUUUAAUGAACACGGCCCAAGACGAUCUCCGGAUCACUGAACCAUCAGAGCGCAUGGCUCUACCUGACCGC